CCUACGAGUCCUAUGAGGACGAAGUGACUGACACCACGCUUCCAGGAAAAGCCACUAAGCUUCAGCUUAAGAAAAACCGUACCGCAAACCGACACAGGUAGGCAGGGUGAGAAUCCCAAGGCGCUUGAGAGAACUCGGGUGAAGGAACUAGGCAAAAUGGCACCGUAACUUCGGGAGAAGGUGCGCCCUUUGGUGUGGUCACGUGCGUGACUGAGCAUCGAGGGGUCGCAGUAACCUGGCCGCUGCGACUGUUUAUCAAAAACACAGCACUCUGCAAACACGAAAGUGGACGUAUAGGGUGUGACGCCUGCCCGGUGCUGGAAGGUUAAUUGAUGGGGUCAGCCGCAAGGCGAAGCUCUUGAUCGAAGCCCCAGUAAGCGGCGGCCGUAACUAUAACGGUCCUAAGGUAGCGAAAUUCCUUGUCGGGUAAGUUCCGACCUGCACGAAUGGCGUAACGACAGCGGCGCUGUCUCCACCCGAGACUCAGUGAAAUUGAAAUCGCUGUGAAGAUGCAGCGUUCCCGCGGCAAGACGGAAAGACCCCGUGAACCUUUACUAUAGCUUUACACUGAACGUUGAGUUCUUCUGUGUAGGAUAGGUGGGAGGCUAUGAAACCAGGACGCUAGUUCUGGUGGAGCCAUCCUUGAAAUACCACCCUGAAGUGCUUGACGUUCUAACCUAGGCCCGUAAUCCGGGUCAGGGACCGUGUAUGGUGGGUAGUUUGACUGGGGCGGUCUCCUCCCAAAGAGUAACGGAGGAGCACGAAGGUACGCUCAGCGCGGUCGGACAUCGCGCACUGUGUGCAAAGGCAUAAGCGUGCUUGACUGCGAGAUCGACGGAUCAAGCAGGUACGAAAGUAGGUCUUAGUGAUCCGGUGGUUCUGUAUGGAAGGGCCAUCGCUCAACGGAUAAAAGGUACUCCGGGGAUAACAGGCUGAUACCGCCCAAGAGUUCAUAUCGACGGCGGUGUUUGGCACCUCGAUGUCGGCUCAUCACAUCCUGGGGCUGUAGCCGGUCCCAAGGGUAUGGCUGUUCGCCAUUUAAAGUGGUACGCGAGCUGGGUUCAGAACGUCGUGAGACAGUUCGGUCCCUAUCUGUCGUGGGCGUUGGAGAUUUGAGGGGGGCUGCUCCUAGUACGAGAGGACCGGAGUGGACGUUCCGCUGGUGUUCGGGUUGUCAUGCCCAUGGCAUUGCCCGGUAGCUACGAACGGAAGUGAUAACCGCUGAAAGCAUCUAAGCGGGAAGCACGCCCCAAGAUGAGAUCUCCCGAGAGCUUGACUCUCCUAAAGGCACCAUCAAGACUAGGUGGUUGAUAGGUCAGGUGUGGAAGCGCAGCAAUGCGUUGAGCUAACUGAUACUAAUGAGCCGUGAGGCUUGACC
rnacentral:rRNA from 1 species